GUGGGUUGCUUGUUGCGCCGUUUCUGCUGGAGAGGAUCGACGAGGAGAUGCCGGGGAAGAUUUGCUUCGUCUCCAGGUCAAGGGAGAGAUGGAAGGCAACCAUGUCUAAAUUUGUUGUGUUUUAUUGAAUUUUCUUCGUGGGAUUCAGUUGCAGCGAGCAAGAAAAGGAUCUCUGCGAGGCGGAUCAUAUUAAGUGUUGUAAGAUCGAGACCAUACUGAUGAAAUGGUGAUUGUAGGAGAAAUACUCGAAUUGGCUCCUGAAGAGAAUGAAGGAGGAGGGGUGUGAGUGGUAUAUAGCAGAACUUUUGCUCCACUCUGGUUUGAUCGUCUAAGCCGGCCGGAGGAUGGCCAGGAGGUGCCCGCCUGCUUCCUAGAAUCCGCGAGGAAGCUGGAGCUUCCGGUUCACUUUUGCUACAGACGGAUGGAGAUGAGGCUGACCUUCUCGGGAAGACCGGCGCUAACUAGAGCAACGUUGGCAUGUGCCGGCACCUCCACCGUAGUUCAACAAACGUCUCUGGACCUGGUCGCCUCCCAGUCUUUUCCUCGGGUCAGCAUGAUUCCUUGC